UAUUUCUUGGGCCGCUCCCACAGCAUAUGGAGGUUCCCAGGCUAGGGGUCGAAUCGGAGCUGUAGCCACCGGCCUACGCCAGAGCCACAGCAACUCGGGAUCCGAGCCGCGUCUGCAACCUACACCACAGCUCACGGCAACGCCAGAUCGUUAACCCACUGAGCAAGGGCAGGGACCGAACCUGCAACCUCAUGGUUCCUAGUCAGAUUCGUUAACCACUGUGCCACGACGGGAACUCCGUGUUGAUAUUUUUGAGUACUCAAAGACAGGGAAAACUGCAUUAAGAAGAAAAGGUUUUCUUUUCCCUUCGACUAGCGGUUUUAAGAUCUUAAAACUACCAUGCUAUUAGGAGCACAAACAACCCUUGACUGUUGAAGGGCUGUUUUGUCAAGAAAAAAUUACUUCCAAGGAUUUCAGAACAGGCAUCAGCAUCAGGAUGAGCACAACCAGUGAAAGAUAUGCUACUCUCUUGCACAAAGUCGAACCUCAAUAGAUAGUUGUGGAAUGAAUAAGUAAAUCAAUAAAGCCAUGAUGAAUGAUGAAUAAAAAAACAUAAAUGAAAAUGAUAUAAAUAAUAUAUACAAAAUAAAAAUACUAUAAUAAGAUAAAUGAAUGAAAGUAUAUUGGCAAAGGAAAAAGCACUUUAUUCUAAACAAAUAUUUGUUUCGUGAUGACAUCCAGAUCCUAAAAACUUCUAAAUUGGUUUUACAAUGCCACAAAGUCUUGGCUCAUCUCAUGCAAAAGUACUGUUGCUUCAACACAAGGAAAGAAACUGGAACCUUCCUUCUGUUUUCCGGUUGCAAACAGUGACUGGCCUGGCAGGGUGGCAGAGAUUUGCUCAACCCUGUACCACUCCUAUCUGCUGCUUUGAAACAGCCAGGAGUAAGACACAACUGCCGUCUGAGGUUACCUUCCCCAGCAAAACAUAAAAAACUCUCUGCCCUUAUAUGUCAACCUAAUGCGUCCAGUGCAUAGGCUUAGAUUUAUUACCCUAAGGAACAGCUCUCUACGGAACAGCAAUCAAGACAGAGGGAGGGGGUGGAUCCAGCAGCCUCUUCUACCUGAUGGCAACAUAGCCAAUCAUAGUUGGUGAGGUUUAGUGCUUGUUUAUGUGUCAGCUCUGGUGAAAGACAUUUUCUUCAUGGAUAUGUUCUAUAUUUUUUCUUAGAACGUAAACUCUUAGGAAGAAUUUAAUUUUUGUUUUCUCUUUAUAAUAUAUGUGUGUGCAUGUGUUUAUAUCAUCAUGUAUGUGUAUAUGUGUAUGUGUGUAUAUAUAUAUAUAUGUAUAUCUAUGCCUAGAUCAUCAUACAUAGGUUUGUGUUUAUAUAUGUAUCAUCACAUGUGUGUUUGUGUUGUGUACUCUAAAAAAGCUAUCAAGCAAGUUUAGGAUUAAUUGAUUUCUUAUAUUGAUCUUUCCUUUCUCUGAAUUUCUAAUUACCCAUAUAAUUUCUAUUCAUUAUUAGGCCAUUUUAUUUAUUUAACAGAACAUAUUAGAAACAUGUGGAUUUUGGAGUUCCCGUCAUGUCUUAGUGGAAACGAAUCUGACUAGGAUCCAUGAAGUUGCAGGUUCGAUCUCUGGCCUCACUCAGUGGGUUAAGGAGCCAGUGUGGCCCUGAGCUGUGGUGCAGGUUACAGAAGUGGCUCGGAUCCCAUGUGGCUGUGGCUGUGGUGUAGACCAGCGGCGACAGCUCCGAUUCAACCCCUUAGCCAGGAAACUCCUUAUGCCAUGAGUGUGGCCCUAAAAAGACCAAAAAAAAAAAAAGUGGAUUUAAAAUCAGAUAACCCGAAUUUGAAUUCUAUAUCCGGUUACCUGGGCUUAUAACCCUGCUGACUCAAUUUCUUCCUUUGUGAAAAUGUAAUAAUUUAUCAUACCUUUGUAUGUGGUUAGAAACGCAGGUGACACAUUUAGCAUGCAGUAAAUGUUCACUGCAAUGACAACUGAUUUUUACCAUGGCCUUUCCCACGAUUUGAUCAGAAGCUCCUUGAGACUAAAAAGUGCUAUUUUGAAAUCCACCACAGAUUUUCUUCUCAAAGUAUCAAGCACAUGAUGGCACUCUACAAAUACGUGCUUAUCGCACUGAACCGUAACAACAUGCAUUUAAAGAUAAAAAGUUAUCUCACUCAUCCAAGAACACAGGCAAAGUCCAUCCACAGUCUCCUUUGCACCUUACCAUGCACCUUAGCUGUGGUCGUGCCCCAUACACUUCUGAGCACCACGAGAGCAAGGAAAUACGUCUUUAAAGAAGCGCUUUUAAAAAUGACUGUAAUUACCUAUAAUCCUUAUACUUGGAACCCACACGAAUCUAAGGUGGAUUUGACUUCUAUAAAGGUGAGGCAUCUGACCCCCACAGAUUCUGAUCAGCGUUGUCCUACGUACCUGCCACGAUACACAGCACAAAAGAACCCGUGCCUUUGGUUCAACCCACCUGGGCAAGAGAUGCAAAGAGAUGACAAGAUAAUUCGAUGACUGGAAACCAGGGCUCCUGCCAUUCAACAGGUAAUACACCCAAGCAAAGCAAUCGAUUUCGACAGCCUUCUGUUUUCAGCCCAUAGCUCAGACAUUCUCAUAAUUCACGUAAACCGAAAGUGCUUUGUUUAUCUUGCCUAAAACAUGGUUAAACCAAAUAAAGGAGGCCACAGUUCGUAUGAAACGCCCAUGGAUGAUUUUUUUCAAAUAUUUACAAUGACUUGACUCGAAAAAUGAAACAAGUCGAGCACCAAUAUUUAUUUUUUUCCCCUCACUCUGUCCCAGUUGCAUUUCCAGCUGGCUCUAUGUCUCACAAAAGAAGAGGCACUAAGAUAAUUACUGUGUCUACUGAGCAAUUCUUCGUUUUGAUCGCUCCAUGGCCCUUCAUUUCCUAUCAUCAGGGUGCCAUCCAGAAUCAUUAUUUUCCAUUUUCCUGUUACACUGCCUGUCUAAUUAAUAGCAGUUCUCGUUUUAAACCCUAUUGCUGGCCCCGAUCCAGCCUUACCUAACAUUCUCUAAAGGCUACACACAACUCCUUUCGGUUCGAGUCAAUUGUUAUGACUACUUUUCCUAUAAUUAUCCCAAGGGCACCAGAGCCUAAGCUCCUGCAACGCAAAGGGCGAGAUUUAUAGGCUUAGGGGGAAACAAGAUUUAUGUCAGUCAACAUUUUUUGCAAAUCUCUAUGCAAAUAUCAGAGACAGUCUCAGAAACUGGAUGAGAAACACCAGCUGAUUGCACCUCAUUUUUAUGAAUACAGUCUUCCUGUGGUCUGACAUUGUACUGGGAGCAUCGGUCAUGGUACCUGCCCCACCCAAUGUGCUUUCCGGAGGACACCGGUUGCCCCCAUGCCCAGCUGGAGAAAGCAGCUGUAGGCAGUACCCUGUGUAGAGGCUCCUGUUCUGUGCCAGGUUUUAAACCUCUGGAUCUAAUGAGUGGGACCAGAAGGGGUGCCUGAUGGCCAAAACUUAGGUGGACCAGAAACCUAUGAGAUGACUCAGUAUGAAAGUUCAGCCCCGGGAGUGCUCGUUGUGGCACGUUGGAAACGAAUCUGACUAGUAGCCAAAAGGAUGAAGGUUCGAUCUCUGACCUUGCUCAGUGGGUCGGGGACCUGGCAUUGCCAUGAGCUGCGGUGUAGGCCACAGAUGUAGCUCAGAUCCCACGUUGCUGUGGCUGUGGUGUAGGCUGGCAGCUCUACAGCUGAUUCGACUCCUAGCCUGGGAACCUCCCUGUGUCUCGGGUGCGGCCCUAAAAAAAAAAAGACAAAAAAAAAAAAAACAUUUUUAUUAUUUCUUCAUGUUUAAAAAAUAGCUUUACAGUCAGGUUCUUGAAACCCUAAGUCUUCCUAAAUGUCCUGAUUUCUACCUCCAGGGGUCAUUGGAGAGUUCCCUGAGUUUUUCUCUCUUCUCUCCUCUUCUCUAGGCUAGAGCAGGAUGGGGAACCGAGGGGGCUUGCACGUUGAGAUACGACCUGUAAAUGGCACACUUAAAAGCUCUGUGAAUAAUAGUCAAGCUAACAGUCUGACAUAAUUCUCCACGAUGUACUCCUGUUCUAAAUGCUCUAUCAAUAUAAAAAGGGCACUUUCUUUAAAUUAAGCUAUAAGUAUAUAUAAAGCAAAUGAGUAUAAAAUAUAUAUCCCUAUUAUCACUGCUGAGAAACACUGUCAUAGGAGAGAAGAAAAAUACUUCUUUCUAGUUCCUACCGUAGAGUGAAUCAGUGGUUCUGAUAAACAGGUCCAAUGUGGGGGAGUGAGCUCCCCACACCAACAGUGACAACUGACACCAGCGAGGUGUCACACAAUUCAAGUCCAUGUGGACACUAUCAACCUGGGAGAGAGCAUCAGAUCCUACAGGUCAGGGCUCAGUCCUACAAGACAGCAGCCCCCCACUCCCACCCCAAUCCCCACGUCUCACAAACUUCAGAGGGAGUCACGAGCCCAGGUUGUCACCUGUGUGUCGGACCAACUGGUCGCAGACUGGAGAUUCAAACAUUCCCCCCUCCUUGGGCAUGAUUCAUUUGCUAAAGCGGUUCACGGAACCCAGAGAAAUAUUUUACUUACUGGAUUACCAGUUUAUCACAAAAGGACAUACUAAAGGAUACAGGUGAACGUGCACAUGGAAGAGAUGGACACGUAAGGUAUGCUGAAAGGAUAUGGGACAUCCAUGAGCUCUCUGAGCCUGUCACUCUUCCCAAACCUCCACUUUGCCCAAAUCUCCACCCUUUCCAAAUCUCCCUUCCUCCGAAAUCUCCUCCACCGUGGAAGCUCUCUGAACCCUCUCCUUUGGAGUGUUUACAAAGGCUUCAUUACAAAGGCUUGAUUGACUAAGUCAUUGGCCAUUGUUGCCCUCCAUCCAUCUCCAACCCUCUUCCCUUCCCAGAAGUGGGACUGAAAGCUCUAACCCUCCAAUUACAUGGCUGGUGCUCUUGGCAACCAGCCCCCAUGGUUAAGUGACGUAAAGACUUUUCAGAAGUCACCUGAUUAAUGUAACAAAAGAUAGCUUUAUUGCCUUUAUCACAGGCAUCUCCAAGGGUUUUAAGACCUAUGAAUCAGCAACCCUGAAAAAAGACUGAAUAUAUAUGAGAAAUAAAUUUUGGCUGUCUGAAUGA
rnacentral:lncRNA from 1 species